CGGUAAUUCCAGCUCCAAUAGCGUAUAUUAAAGUUGUUGCCGUUAAAAAGCUCGUAGUCGAACUUCGGCCUUUGCCGCCCGGUCCGCCCUAUGGGUGUGUACUGGAGCGGUGGUGGCUUACCUCGUGGUGAACGGCCAUGCUCUUUACUGGGUGUGGUCGGGAACCAUGAUUUUUACUUUGAAAAAAUUAGAGUGUUCAAAGCAGGCUUACGCCCGAAUACAUUAGCAUGGAAUAAUAAAAUAGGACGUGUGGUUCUAUUUUGUUGGUUUCUAGAAUCGCCGUAAUGAUUAAUAGGGAUAGUUGGGGGCAUUCGUAUUCAAUUGCUAGAGGUGAAAUUCUUGGAUUUAUUGAAGACGAACUACUGCGAAAGCAUUUGCCAAGGAUGUUUUCAUUGAUCAAGAACGAAGGUUAGGGGAUCGAAAACGAUCAGAUACCGUUGUAGUCUUAACAGUAAACGAUGCCGACUAGGGAUCGGACGAGGAUUUUUAAUGACUCGUUCGGCACCUGAAGAGAAAUCUUUAAGUCUAGGUUCGGGGGGGAGUAUGGUCGCAAGGCUGAAACUUAAAGGAAUUGACGGAAGGGCACCACCAGGUGUGGAGCCUGCGGCUUAAUUUGACUCAACACGGGGAAACUCACCAGGUCCAGACACGACAAGGAUUGACAGAUUGAUAGCUCUUUCUUGAUUUCGUGGUUGGUGGUGCAUGGCCGUUCUUAGUUGGUGGAGUGAUUUGUCUGGUUAAUUCCGAUAACGAACGAGACCUUAACCUGCUAAAUAGCCCGGCCGACUUUGGUUGGUCGCUGGCUUCUUAGAGGGACUAUCAGCGUUUAGCUGAUGGAAGUUUGAGGCAAUAACAGGUCUGUGAUGCCCUUAGAUGUUCUGGGCCGCACGCGCGCUACACUGACUGAACCAGCGAGUUUAUCACCUUGGCCGGAAGGCCUGGGUAAUCUUGUGAAACUCGGUCGUGAUGGGGAUAGAGCAUUGCAAUUAUUGCUCUUCAACGAGGAAUACCUAGUAAGCGUGAGUCAUCAGCUCGCGUUGAAUUCGUCCCUGCCCUUUGUACACACCGCCCGUCGCUACUACCGAUUGAAUGGCUUAGUGAGGUCUCCGGAUUGGCUUCUGGGAGCCGGCAACGGCACCUAGUCGCUGAGAAGUUGAACGAACUUGGUCAUUUAGAGGAAGUAAAAGUCGUAACAAGGUAGCCG
rnacentral:rRNA from 1 species